UGAGGAAUAUUGGUCAAUGGGGCGAGAGCCUGAACCAGCCAAGUAGCGUGCAGGAUGACGGCCCUAUGGGUUGUAAACUGCUUUUAUAAGGGAAUAAAGUGAGUCUCGUGAGACUUUUUGCAUGUACCUUAUGAAUAAGGACCGGCUAAUUCCGUGCCAGCAGCCGCGGUAAUACGGAAGGUCCGGGCGUUAUCCGGAUUUAUUGGGUUUAAAGGGAGCGCAGGCGGAGGUGCAAGCGUGCCGUGAAAGCGCGGGGCUCAACCCCGUACAGCGGCGCGAACUGCUCCCCUUGGUUGCGGAAGGGAAGGCGGAACUCGUGGUGUAGCGGUGAAAUGCAUAGAUAUCACGAAGAACUCCGAUCGCGAAGGCAGCCUUCCGGCCCGUG
rnacentral:rRNA from 1 species